rnacentral:rRNA from 1 species
UGGUGGAGCGAUUUGUUUGGUUAAUUCCGAUAACGAACGAGACUCUGGCCUAUUAAAUAGUUCGCCGAUUCCGAUCUGUCGGCGUUAACUUCUUAGAGGGACAAGUGGCUUUUAGCCACGCGAGAUUGAGCAAUAACA